AGGGAUCAUUUACAGAGUUCAUGCCCUUCGGGGUAGAUCUCCACCCUAUGUAUUUAUACUCUUGUUGCUUUGGUAGGCCGCUGGGCUUCGGCUUGGCCACCGGCUCACGCUGGUGUGUGCCUACCAGAGGCUAUCAAACUCUGAAUGUUAGUGUCGUCUGAGUACUAUAUAAUAGUUAAAACUUUCAACAACGGAUCUCUUGGCUCUGGCAUCGAUGAAGAACGCAGCGAAAUGCGAUAAGUAAUGUGAAUUGCAGAAUUCAGUGAAUCAUCGAAUCUUUGAACGCACAUUGCGCCCUCUGGUAUUCCGGAGGGCAUGCCUGUUCGAGCGUCAUUACAACCCUCAAGCUCUGCUUGGUAUUGGGCCGCGGGCGUCGGCCCGGGCCUUAAAAUCAGUGGCGGUGCCACCUGGCUCUGAGCGUAGUACAUCUCUCGCUAUAGAUGCCCGGUGGAUGCUUGCCAUAACCCCCAAUUUUUUAAUGGUUGACCUCGGAUCAGGUAGGGAUACCCGCUGAACUUAA
rnacentral:rRNA from 1 species